rnacentral:rRNA from 1 species
GAUGAACGCUGGCGGCGUGCCUAAUACAUGCAAGUCGAGCGAACGGACGAGAAGCUUGCUUCUCUGAUGUUAGCGGCGGACGGGUGAGUAACACGUGGAUAACCUACCUAUAAGACUGGGAUAACUUCGGGAAACCGUAGCUAAUACCGGAUAAUAUUUUGAACCGCAUGGUUCAAAAGUGAAAGACGGUCUUGCUGUCACUUAUAGAUGGAUCCGCGCUGCAUUAGCUAGUUGGUAAGGUAACGGCUUACCAAGGCAACGAUGCAUAGCCGACCUGAGAGGGUGAUCGGCCACACUGGAACUGAGACACGGUCCAGACUCCUACGGGAGGCAGCAGUAGGGAAUCUUCCGCAAUGGGCGAAAGCCUGACGGAGCAACGCCUCGUGAGUGAUGAAGGUCUUCGGAUCGUAAAACUCUGUUAUUAGGGAAGAACAUAUGUGUAAGUAACUGUGCACAUCUUGACGGUACCUAAUCAGAAAGCCACGGCUAACUACGUG